GUGUCAGCCGCCGCGGUAAUACGUAGGGGGCAAGCGUUGUCCGGAUUUAUUGGGCGUAAAGAGCGUGUAGGCGGCCAAGCAGGUCAGCUGUGAAAACUCGAGGCUCAACCUCGAGACGUCGGUUGAAACCGCUUGGCUAGAGUCCGGAAGAGGAGAGUGGAAUUCCCGGUGUAGCGGUGAAAUGCGCAGAUAUCGGGAAGAACACCCGUGGCGAAGGCGGCUCUCUGGGACGGUACUGACGCUGAGACGCGAAAGCGUGGGGAGCGAACAGGAUUAGAUACCCCUGUAGUCC
rnacentral:rRNA from 1 species